UACGUAGGGCGCAAGCGUUGUCCGGAAUUAUUGGGCGUAAAGAGCUCGUAGGCGGUUUGUCGCGUCUGCUGUGAAAACCUAAGGCUCAACCUUGGGCUUGCAGUGGGUACGGGCAGACUAGAGUGCGGUAGGGGUGACUGGAAUUCCUGGUGUAGCGGUGAAAUGCGCAGAUAUCAGGAGGAACACCAGCGGCGAAGGCGGCGCUCUGGGCCGGUACUGACGCUGAGGAGCGAAAGCGUGGGUAGCAAACAGG
rnacentral:rRNA from 1 species